UUUACAUUCUAUUCAUAUUUAAAAGAACUAAAUGUUGAACUAGAACUUAUGACCUUUUGCUGAUUGCUGAAAAGUAAAUUUACAACAAAAAUUGAUGAAAAUAACAUAAAAAUGAAUGAUUGCACCUCUUCAAGUUCUACAGAAUUAUUAAAUGAAGGAAUCUGCUUCAGAAUUGCUGACUGCAUGUCGCUGCAACAUCUGUGCUACAAAGUUUGACUGUUUAAAAUAUUGAAAAGUUUGGAUUAGGGGACUAUUUGGAGCGUCGGCAGUGCAGUUGGCGCUUGACCGGAUCAUAUUUUACAUAUCCAGGUACGAUCUCCGCUAUAUACUAUAUACUAUGAGUUCUUCGAAUUUCAUGAUAACAUCCAUCAG